rnacentral:rRNA from 1 species
UGAGGAAUAUUGGGCAAUGCCCGCAAGGGUGACCCAGCAACGCCGCGUGGAGGAUGAAUGUCGUAAGAUUGUAAACUCCUGUUAGAGGGGAAGAAUAGUACCGGUUGGACCGGUAUAUGACUGUACCCUCAGAGAAAGCCCCGGCUAACUACGUGCCAGCAGCCGCGGUAAUACGUAGGGGGCAAGCGUUGUCCGGAUUUACUGGGUGUAAAGGGCGCGCAGGCGGGAUAAAAAGUCAGUGGUGAAAUCCUACAGCUUAACUGUAGAACUGCCUUUGAUACUUUUAUUCUUGAGUUCGGGAGAGAGAGACGGAAUUCCAGGUGUAGUGGUGAAAUACGUAGAUAUCUGGAAGAACACCAGUUGCGAAGGCGGUCUCUUGGUCCGACACUGACGCUGAGGCGCGAAAGCGUGGGGGGCAAAC